rnacentral:lncRNA from 1 species
CAUUUUCCUUGCAUACUCCCAGACAAGACCUCCUGAGAGUCAACUGUGAAUCUGCAUGUCGGUUUUAUAGUCAGCAAAUGAAGGGGAAACAACUAGCAAUCAAGAAGAUGAACGAGAUUCAGAAGAAUAUUGAUGGUUGGGAGGGAAAAGACAUUGGACAGUGUUGUAAUGAAUUUAUAAUGGAAGGAACUCUUACACGUGUAGGAGCCAAACAUGAGAGACACAUAUUUCUCUUUGAUGGCUUAAUGAUUUGCUGUAAAUCAAAUCAUGGGCAGCCAAGACUUCCUGGUGCUAGCAAUGCAGAAUAUCGUCUUAAAGAAAAGUUUUUUAUGCGAAAGGUACAAAUUAAUGAUAAAGAUGACACCAAUGAAUACAAGCAUGCUUUUGAAAUAAUUU